rnacentral:sRNA from 1 species
UACGACCCCAGCAGUCACAUGUAGGCGU